rnacentral:lncRNA from 13 species
UCUCCAAUGAACCCUCCUGGGUUCGAUAAAAUGGAGGAAAUGGAUAAUCUCAUUGUUAAAAGUAUCUAACAAGGGCAUAUAUGUUUCUUUUGUAUUGACAGACCUACUCUGGGCUGUUCUGUGUGACUCUGUGAACCCUUAUAAGUGGCUCCCGGUCUGUAACCCAGAGGUGGUGAGCGCCUACAGAGGGAAGAAGAGGAUAGAGGUUCCACCUCCUAUUUUCGCCCUCUCUGAUAAUGCCUAUCGGCUCAUGCUAACAGGUAUGUCACCCACUGCUUUAAAUGUCUAUUCAUUACAUAUUGUGAUUUUGAACAUCCAACUCAUUGUGCUUAUUUUUCUUUAGAUCGGGAACAUCAGUCUAUCCUAAUCACUGGAGAAUCCGGUGCAGGCAAGACUGUAAACACCAAACGUGUCAUCCAGUACUUUGCGACAAUCGCAGUGUCUGCGGACCAGAAAAAAGAGCCAGUCAGCAAGAUGAAGGUAAGUUUAUACCUUUUGUAGUGGCUUUGACUGUACAGAAAUGGGAUUUGUCUGGUGAUGUACAGGAAUGGGAUUUGUCUGGUGAUGUACAGGAAUGGGCUUUGUCUGGUGAUGUACAGGAAUGGGCUUUGUCUGGUGAUGUACAGGAAUGGGCUUUGACUGGUGAUGUACAGGAAUGGGCUUUGUCUGGUGAUGUACAGGAAUGGGCUUUGACUGGUGAUGUACAUGAAUGGGCUUUGACUGGUGAUGUACAGGAAUGGGCUUUAUCUGGUGAUGUACAGGAAUGGGCUUUAUCUGGUGAUGUACAGGAAUGGGCUUAACUGGUGAUGUACAGUAAUGGGCUUUGACCUUUCUUGUGGCAGGGAACCCUGGAGGAUCAUCCAGGCCAACCCUCUGCUGGAGGCUUUUGGGAAUGCCUAGACGGUGAGGAAUGACAGCUCCUCUCGCUUUGUGAGUCCAACCAGAAUCCAACGGAAUUGUUUUUUUACGCAGAAGCGUAGCAAUAAGAGCUGAACAACGUUAAACUUACAGUAAGACAUUUUUUUUCUUCUCAAAAAGGGCAAAUUCAUUAGAAUACACUUUGGUACAACGGGUAAACUGGCCUCAGCAGAUAUUGAAGUUUGUAAGUACAACAUUUGUUUUGUUGCUAAAAAUGCAUUUCCUGACAUUAUCCAGAUACUGUAUGAGUGAUGUUGAAUGAAUUUUGCUUUGUUACUGAAAGAUCUGCUGGAAAAACCUUGAGGGACAUUUCAAUUGGGUGCUGAGAGGAGCUACCAUAUAUUCUACCAGCUAACUUGCAACAAGAAGCCAGAGCUUAUUGGUAUGUAGAAUUUUGACAUACUGCAGUAUCUCUCUUACUAAGCUUCUCUCACACAAACACCCACACACACACACACAAACUAGCAAAUAAUAUGGGAUCCCCAUCAUACGGAACCCCCAUCAUACGUUAACAUGUCUUGUCAUCAGGUGAAUCAUAAUUCCAAACACAUUUUCGCUAAGAGCAUCUUUUAUAUACAGUAUAUAUAUUUCCACACUACAGGGUUUGAAUAAUACUGUGAAAUUGUGAAACUUAUGAUAAUGUUCUUUUAGUGUAAAAAUGUCAGCCUGUUUUGGUGGUAUGGAGUUUUGGCCUUCUAUGGCUGUCACGAAUCUCGCCGAAGAUGGUGCCUCUUCCUGUUCGGGCGGCGCUCGGCGGUCGUCGUCGCCGGCCUAUUAGCUGCCAUCGAUUCCCUUUCCGUUUGUUUCUGUUUAUUGGGUUUAAUUGGGUACACCUGUUUUGAGUUAGUGUUUGUUUGUAGGCUAUUUAAGGGCACUAGGCCGCUGGGUAAUUGUGUGGGCUUGUUUUCUGUUAUCUAGUGUAUGAGUGUUGUUAGUAUUUUUCGGACAGUUUUAGUCCGUUGUAUUUUGGGACGGGUUGUUUCAUGCGCCCUGGUGUUUUGCAUGUCGUGGCUCCACAGUCUAUGGAAUAAAAUAUCCACGUACUGAAUUACCUGCUCUCUGGCUUGACUCCUCCACUCACCAUUGUUAGAAGUUGUAACAAUGGCGACAUCACUCCAUGGUGACAUCAUUUAUUCAUUAAUAAACCAAUAAGAAAGAGUUCCAAACCUCUCUGCCAAUAACAGCAAAUGUUCCAUUUUCCCCUCCCCAAUCAGACCUCUCCCAGACAGUCCUAGCCAAAUUCUUGCUUGAGAAAUUGCUCUUUGCUAAGAAGCUACUUUUGUUUCUUUUUGACCAUUUUAAUUGAAAACAAAUAACGGUAAGGUACUUAAUUACACAGAAAUGAUUUGAUAUUGAGAUAAAAUGCACUGGUACAGUGUCCUGUUUGUGGGUGCUUUUCAAAGUCUACGUAUGUCAGAUACUCCAGUUAGUGUAACUGGCUCCGGGUGAGUGUAAUUUGCUCAAUAUUAGGAGUUGAGAAAUAAAGUUAGAACGAAGAUAUUGUCCUCUUUUCUACUGUAUGUCAUUCUAAACUUGUCUAUUCUGUUGCUGCUAGCGAUAUUCAUACAAACAUUGGGAAAAAUUGACUUUAAAAAAUUAAUAAAUUGGGGACCCCAGUCUAAUUGAAUUUCCCCCUUUCAGAUAUGCUUCUCAUCACCCCCAACUCCUAUGACUUUGCCUUUAUAAGUCAAGGAGAAAUCACUGUGAAAAGCAUAGACGAUGCAGAUGAAUUGAUAGCUACUGAUGUGAGUUGAGUUAAGGGGAUCAAACACGCAUGGUUUCUUUUCAGAUAGCUUUCAUUUGAU